rnacentral:rRNA from 1 species
GCACUCUAGACGAACUGCCGUUGACAAAACGGAGGAAGGUGGGGAUGACGUCAAAUCAUCAUGCCCCUUAUGUUCUGGGCUACACACGUGCUACAAUGGCCGGUACAGACGGACGCAAAGCCGCGAGGUGGAGCAAAUCCUAAAAAGCCGGUCUCAGUUCGGAUUGCAGGCUGCAAUUCGCCUGCAUGAAGUCGGAAUCGCUAGUAAUCGCCAGGUCCAGCAUACUGCGGUGAAUACGUUCCCGGGCCUU